UACGAAGGGGGCUAGCGUUGCUCGGAAUCACUGGGCGUAAAGGGUGCGUAGGCGGGUCUUUAAGUCAGGGGUGAAAUCCUGGAGCUCAACUCCAGAACUGCCUUUGAUACUGAGGAUCUUGAGUUCGGGAGAGGUGAGUGGAACUGCGAGUGUAGAGGUGAAAUUCGUAGAUAUUCGCAAGAACACCAGUGGCGAAGGCGGCUCACUGGCCCGAUACUGACGCUGAGACACGAAAGCCAGGGGAGCAAACGGG
rnacentral:rRNA from 1 species